UGUUCUUUAGAACAACAGAAGGCAAAAGACAGUGCCAUCACAUUGUGCCCCCUCACAUUCUUCCGCCCUCAGAUGGCUUAUUAAACCCAAGCAGGGUAAAAACUAGCAAGUGACAACUCACAGCCAAAAUCCUACACACACGUUGAGACUGUGAAAAGAGGUCAUUUGGAGCUGCAUGGAGUGCUUGAGAUCCUGAGGCAGUGGCCUUAUGGAAUUUCAAGAUGGGCCAAAUCCAUAAAAAUCUAUGGUGAAUGAUGGAGUUUCUCCUCCAGGACAUACAUCUUCUGAGAAAAAAGUCAGCAGAGGGUGUUGAAGAGAGUGGGUUUGGAGGAAGAUGUGGAUGAUGCCUCCUGAGUCAGAUGCCUGCAACUGUUCAGCCCUGGUAACCUUGUCCUCUCCCUGGGAGAGUGGAAGGUGGUCCUCAGAGACUUCUACUUUCUCCUCUUGAAUGCUUAGGCAUCAAGCUUACUUCUCAGAUCUAGAAACCAGCGUAGACAUCUUUAAAUUAUGGGUCAUUUCCUACUCUUUCCUACUCUCUUCGGUUGUCCUGGAUUGAAUAACGUUUCUUGAAACUCAAGUCACCUUGGAGUCUCAGAAUGCAACCUUUUUUAGAAAUACAUAUGAUUAGUUAAGAUGCAGUCAUGCAGAUUUCAAGUGGGCCACGAGUCCCAGGACUGAUGACAUUAAAAAAUAAGGCAUAUUAAGAUAUACAGGAAGGAAAGCCACAUGAAGACAGGGAUAGAAUUAAGCCACAAGCAGCUCAAACAGGCAAGACGGGGGUGUGCCCUGAAGCUUCUGGAAGAGCAUGGCUCUGCCAUGCCUUUUAUUUUGGACUUGAUCUCCAGAAAUGUGAGACAAUGUUUCUUACUGUGGUCUAAGGAGUAACAUACAGUUAUUAUUAUUACAUCAUCUUGUAACUAUAAGGCUUGAGAGCUGGUCUCUGUUUGGGCCCUAAAUUAUAAAAGGAGACAAGGUAGGAAGGUUAUCCUCAACAAAGUGUUUUGCUCACUGUGAUACACAAUGAGACAGUCUUAUGUUUCUCUCUACCUGGAGCCUCUGUGGUAAGAUUUUCAAACUGGGUGCUGUUUGCAUGCCCCCACACACACCCUUGGGCUUCUCCCACCCCUGCCUUCUCAUCACACUUCUCUGCCAAAAUCUGAUCACAUGGUCUUCCUGUUUGAAUGGGUGAGGUUUUUCAGUGACAUCAGACAAGAAGGCAGAAACUGCUGGAAGUUUGCUCCAUGCUAGAUUAGCAGCACAUGGGUGAAUCAAGCUCAUGCAUUAUUCAGAGAGGAAAAUAUGUGGGCUUUGAGUGAACUUUGGAGGAGUGGGCAGCUAUUCCCGAGGAGAGCGCCCUAUUGUUUUGCCUCAUAGAGCACAGAGAGCAAGUGACAUUCCUUACAGCAGAGCUAAUGGAGCACACCCAGAUUCUGUGGUGAACUGGCCAGCAGACAUGUGAGCUUUGAAAUCCUGCAGUUCACAAAAGGCAUUUACUAUAAUCCCCCCGAAACCUGCACACACCCACUUUCUUACCCAGUGUAUCUGAGUAAAUCUUGUGAUCACAUAUCUCAUUUAAAACAACUGUCAACGCUUACAACUCUCAUUUAGGUAGAAUGGCAUUUUUCCUGGCAUCUCUUUAGUUUAAUUUUCCCCCAAGCUAAAUC